rnacentral:rRNA from 1 species
GGGAAUGGCGCAUGCUUAACAUGCAGUCGAACGGCAGCACGGAGCUUGCUCUGGUGGCGAGUGGCGAACGGGUGAGUAAUAUAUCGGAACGUACCCUAGAGUGGGGGAUAACGUAGCGAAAGUUACGCUAAUACCGCAUACGAUCUAAGGAUGAAAGUGGGGGAUCGCAAGACCUCAUGCUCGUGGAGCGGCCGAUAUCUGAUUAGCUAGUUGGUAGGGUAAAAGCCUACCAAGGCAUCGAUCAGUAGCUGGUCUGAGAGGACGACCAGCCACACUGGAACUGAGACACGGUCCAGACUCCUACGGGAGGCAGCAGUGGGGAAUUUUGGACAAUGGGCGAAAGCCUGAUCCAGCAAUGCCGCGUGAGUGAAGAAGGCCUUCGGGUUGUAAAGCUCUUUUGUCAGGGAAGAAACGGUGAGAGCUAAUAUCUCUUGCUAAUGACGGUACCUGAAGAAUAAGCACCGGCUAACUACGUGCCAGCAGCCGCGGUAAUACGUAGGGUGCAAGCGUUAAUCGGAAUUACUGGGCGUAAAGCGUGCGCAGGCGGUUUUGUAAGUCUGAUGUGAAAUCCCCGGGCUCAACCUGGGAAUUGCAUUGGAGACUGCAAGGCUAGAAUCUGGCAGAGGGGGGUAGAAUUCCACGUGUAGCAGUGAAAUGCGUAGAUAUGUGGAGGAACACCGAUGGCGAAGGCAGCCCCCUGGGUCAAGAUUGACGCUCAUGCACGAAAGCGUGGGGAGCAAACAGGAUUAGAUACCCUGGUAGUCCACGCCCUAAACGAUGUCUACUAGUUGUCGGGUCUUAAUUGACUUGGUAACGCAGCUAACGCGUGAAGUAGACCGCCUGGGGAGUACGGUCGCAAGAUUAAAACUCAAAGGAAUUGACGGGGACCCGCACAAGCGGUGGAUGAUGUGGAUUAAUUCGAUGCAACGCGAAAAACCUUACCUACCCUUGACAUGGCUGGAAUCCUUGAGAGAUCGGAGGAGGUGCUCGAAGAGACCAGUACACAGGUGCUGCAUGGCUGUCGUCAGCUCGUGUCGUGAGAUGUUGGGUAAGUCCCGCAACGAGCGCACCCUGUCAUAGUGCUACGAAGGGCACUCUAUUGAACUGCGUGACAACCGGAGGAAAGUGGGGAUGACGUCAGUCCUCAUGGCCUAUGGAGGCUUCAACGUCAUACAUGGUUACUAC